GAUAGCCAUAAAUAACGGCUGGAUUUAAGGUCGGGUUCGUGACUAACCGUACGGUUUGGGUAGCGGCAUCGUACAAACCACCCCACCAACAGGCUUUCGCCACCAGGAGCAAAGCCCCCGUACCUAAAAACAGUAAAUGAUGCCCCAGAAUAAUGCCCAAUUGCCGGGGAUUUUCCCA
rnacentral:antisense_RNA from 1 species